rnacentral:rRNA from 1 species
AGAGGAUGGGGAGCAACCUAGUUGUGCGUGUGUAAAGGUAGUGCCAAGAAAAGCGAUGAUCAUGUUGAAAAUCAAUUCCCGGUACCCGAAACCGACACAGGUGGGCAAGUAGAGAAUACUAAGGGGCGCGAGGUAACUCUCUCCAAGGAACUCGGCAAAAUGACCCCGUAACUUAGGGAGAAGGGGUGCCACCGAGAGGUGGUCGCAGUGAAGAGGCCCAGGCGACUGUUUAGCAAAAACAUAGGUCUCUGCAAACUCGAAAGAGGAGGUAUAGGGGCUGACGCCUGCCCAGUGCCGGAAGGUUAAAGAAGUUGGUGAGUUUUAGGAUGAAGCUAGCGACUGAAGCCCCGGUGAACGGCGGCCGUAACUAUAACGGUCCUAAGGUAGCGAAAUUCCUUGUCGGGUAAGUUCCGACCCGCACGAAAGGCGUAACGAUCUGGGCGCUGUCUCGGAGAGAGGCUCGGCGAAAUAGGAUUGUCUGUGAAGAUACGGACUACCUGCAUUUGGACAGAAAGACCCUAUGAAGCUUUACUAUAGCUUGGAAUUGUGUUCGGGCUUCCUGUGCGCAGGAUAGGUGGGAGGCGUAGAAGGUAUUCUUGUGGGGAUACUGGAGCCAACGGUGAGAUACCUCUCUCAGGAGGCUAGAAUUCUAACUUAAUUAAGGACAGUUUCAGGUGGGUAGUUUGACUGGGGCGGUCGCCUCCAAAAAGGUAACGGAGGCGUACAAAGGUUCCCUCAGACUGGUUGGAAAUCAGUCGAAGAGUGCAAGGGCAGAAGGGAGCUUGACUGCGAGAAGUACAGUUCGAGCAGGGUGGAAACACGGUCUUAGUGAUCCGACGGUGCUGUGUGGAAGGGCCGUCGCUCAACGGAUAAAAGUUACUCUAGGAUAACAGGCUGAUCUCCCCCAAGAGUUCACAUCGACGGGGAGGUUUGGCACCUCGAUGUCGGCUCAUCGCAACCUGGGGCGGAAGUACGUCCCAAGGGUUGGGCUGUUCGCCCAUUAAAGCGGUACGUGAGCUGGGUUCAGAACGUCGUGAGACAGUUCGGUCCAUAUCCGAUGUAGGCGUGAGAAUAUUGAGAGGAGCCUUCCUUAGUACGAGAGGACCGGGAAGGACGCACCGCUGGUGUACCUGUUAUGAUGCCAAUUGUAAACGCAGGGUAGCCAAGUGCGGAGAGGAUAACCGCUGAAAGCAUCUAAGUGGGAAGCCCACCUCAAGAUGAGUAUUCUGGUGUAAGGUCACGGGAAGACGACCCGUAAAUAGGCACGAGGUGGAAGUGCAGAGAUGUAUGAAGCCGAAGUGUACUAAUAGACCGUCGGCUUGACCAU